GAGGCACACGCACAACUCAUAACAGUGGAUGUCUUGGCUCCCCAGUCGAUGAAGGACGCGGCAACAUGCGAUAACUCGUAUGCAUUGCAGAAUCAAGCGUAGUACCAAGACUUUGAACGCAUACUGUGUGCUCGCCAGUUCUCUGGCGCUGCACGCCCGCGUUUCAGUGCCGAUACCAUCAUUGAGGCCGCACGCGUCCUCGCAGCCGGCGGGGGAAGCGACCCCGGCAGAUAAGAGAACUAUUCAAGGCCUGAGGCGCGGUCGACCACCCGCUGAACUUAAGCAUAUCAUUAAGCGGAGGAAAAGAAAACAACCGUGAUUCCCCUAGUAGCGGCGAGCGAAGCGGGAGAAGCCCAAUCCGAAUCGGCGCAGCCGAGUUGUGGAGUAGUGAGGACGCCAGGGCGGACGUCGCGUGCACCAAAGUCUUCCUGGAAAGGAGCGCCAGAGAGGGUGAUAGCCCCGUGUACGUGCGCGCGCGCCCGCGCGACCCGGUGUCUGCGGAGUAGUACUGCUUGGGAAUGCAGUGCGAACGGCAGGUAUACCUCUGCCAAGGCUAAAUAUCAUGGGGAGACCGAUAGCGAACAAGUAGCGUGAGCGAAAGAUGAAAAGCACUUUGGAGAGAGAGUGAAACAGCACCUGAAGCUGUUGUGAGGUAAGGGAUGGAUCACUAUCCAAGGCGGCGCGACGGAAU
rnacentral:ncRNA from 1 species